UGCGCAGGCGGUUUUGUAAGUCAGAUGUGAAAUCCCCGAGCUCCACUUGGGAACUGCGUUUGAAACUAUUAAGCUAGAAUAUGUCAGAGGGGGGUAGAAUUCCACGUGUAGCAGUGAAAUGCGUAGAGAUGUGGAGGAAUACCAAUGGCGAAGGCAGCCCCCUGGGAUAAUAUUGACGCUCAUGCACGAAAGCGUGGGGAGCAAACAGGAUUAGAUACCCUAGUA
rnacentral:rRNA from 1 species